UACAGAGGGUGCAAGCGUUAAUCGGAAUUACUGGGCGUAAAGCGUGCGUAGUCGGUUAUUUAAGUCGGGUGUGAAAGCCCCGGGCUCAACCUGGGAAUUGCAUUCGAUACUGGAUAGCUAGAGUUCGGCAGAGGGAAGCGGAAUUUCCGGUGUAGCGGUGAAAUGCGUAGAUAUCGGGAGGAACAUCGGUGGCGAAAGCGGCUUCCUGGGCCGUAACUGACGCUGAGGAGCGAAAGCAUGGGGAGCGAACAGG
rnacentral:rRNA from 1 species